rnacentral:rRNA from 1 species
ACGAACGCUGGCGGCGUGCUUAACACAUGCAAGUCGAACGAUGAAGCCCUUCGGGGUGGAUUAGUGGCGAACGGGUGAGUAACACGUGGGCAAUCUGCCCUGCACUCUGGGACAAGCCCUGGAAACGGGGUCUAAUACCGGAUAUGACCGUCCAUCGCAUGGUGGAUGGUGUAAAGCUCCGGCGGUGCAGGAUGAGCCCGCGGCCUAUCAGCUAGUUGGUGAGGUAGUGGCUCACCAAGGCGACGACGGGUAGCCGGCCUGAGAGGGCGACCGGCCACACUGGGACUGAGACACGGCCCAGACUCCUACGGGAGGCAGCAGUGGGGAAUAUUGCACAAUGGGCGAAAGCCUGAUGCAGCGACGCCGCGUGAGGGAUGACGGCCUUCGGGUUGUAAACCUCUUUCAGCAGGGAAGAAGCGAAAGUGACGGUACCUGCAGAAGAAGCGCCGGCUAACUACGUGCCAGCAGCCGCGGUAAUACGUAGGGCGCAAGCGUUGUCCGGAAUUAUUGGGCGUAAAGAGCUCGUAGGCGGCUUGUCACGUCGGUUGUGAAAGCCCGGGGCUUAACCCCGGGUCUGCAGUCGAUACGGGCAGGCUAGAGUUCGGUAGGGGAGAUCGGAAUUCCUGGUGUAGCGGUGAAAUGCGCAGAUAUCAGGAGGAACACCGGUGGCGAAGGCGGAUCUCUGGGCCGAUACUGACGCUGAGGAGCGAAAGCGUGGGGAGCGAACAGGAUUAGAUACCCUGGUAGUCCACGCCGUAAACGGUGGGCACUAGGUGUGGGCAACAUUCCACGUUGUCCGUGCCGCAGCUAACGCAUUAAGUGCC